UACGAAGGGGGCUAGCGUUGUUCGGAAUUACUGGGCGUAAAGGGCGCGUAGGCGGCCUGCUAAGUCGGACGUGAAAUCCCCCGGCUUAACCUGGGAACUGCGUCUGAUACUGGGAGGCUAGAGUUCGGGAGAGGGAUGUAGAAUUCCAGGUGUAGCGGUGAAAUGCGUAGAUAUCUGGAGGAAUACCGGUGGCGAAGGCGGCAUCCUGGACCGAAACUGACGCUGAGGCGCGAAAGCUAGGGGAGCAAACGGG
rnacentral:rRNA from 1 species